UACGGAGGGCGCAAGCGUUGUUCGGAAUCACUGGGCGUAAAGCGCGUGAAGGCGGCUUGGCAAGUCGGGUGUGAAAUCCCGAGGCUCAACCUCGGAACUGCACUCGAAACUGCCUGACUCGAGUCCCGGAGAGGGUGGCGGAAUUCCCGGUGUAGGGGUGAAAUCCGUAGAUAUCGGGAGGAACACCAGUGGCGAAGGCGGCCACCUGGACGGUGACUGACGCUGAGCCGCGAAAGCGUGGGGAGCAAACAGG
rnacentral:rRNA from 1 species